GACAUUACAUUUGUAACAAUUCUCUUAUCUUUCCUUUACUUUGUAUCAUGAACAUCAUGACUUUUUUUUUUUUUUUUCCUGAAAAUCCGGCAGAGUUUCCCCUAAAAUAUGGACUUAAUUACCUUAACCCCCAAACUUCUUUCAACAUCAAAACAGUUUCAAUUUCGAUCAAACGCUUCAUAACAUUUCAUUAAUCUCAACACAGAAACUUAUACUAAUCAUCCACAUUUACACUAAAAUUAAAAUAUUUAACUAUAUCUGUUUCAACCCAUAUUCAACUUUAUCUCUAAAACCUUAUGUACAUGUCAUAUUUCCAAAAUCAAGUUCAUAUAAAAAUUUACAAAAUAUACCCCAAUAUAGAUGAUGAUGUAACUCUGGCUGGGUUGAUGCAGAUCUUGAUCUACUGCUCUUUGAAUCUACAACCUGCGCGAGGAAAAAUAAAUUCCUACGCGCUAAGCAAAUUGCUUAGUAGUGCUCAACUUUUUUUUAUAUAAAUAAAAAUUUAAAUCAAAAUUCAUGUAAUAACAGUAAUUCAAACAAACAAACAACAAAUAACUAUAUAACAAAUCAUUUGACAUAAGCUAAAUCAUAUUAUUAUUUUACAUAUAUAUAUAUUUUCAUUUCACAAUCUUUUUUUUUUUUCUUCAUCAUGUAAAAGGUUUUAUUUUCUCUUAAUACUUUUAUUUAUUUAUUAUUUUUCUGUUGGCCCCUAUAAAUUUAAAUGGGACUGUUAAGUCAGAUAAGGAAACUGUAACUGUAGGGCACAAAGUGCCAAAUAACUGUAUGGCUCAAAAGCCGAGUCUAUGACUGUAGGAUACCUCAUUGUAUCCCAAAAAUCCGUGUAACUAUAGUGCAGUACUGCAAGAUCUGUAUAUGGCAUGCCACACCCUUAAACUAACUCACAAUUCCCACCAAACUUAAUAGGGCCAGACUUUAAAUAAUUUAUACAUUUAAACAUGAGCCAAAAAUUUCAAUAUAGUGUAACUUUUAAUUUUUUUAAACUAUAAUAAUUUAUCAUAUUACAACUCUGCCUUUAAACAUUGUCAUAUCAUGUAAAUCUAUUCAUUUACUUCAACUACAUAAAUUACAAAUUCAUAAUUUAAUCCUUAAUUAAUUAACUAUUAUUCUUUUUAUUAUUAUUAUUUUUUUCUAAUAUAAUUUUUUUUUUCCUAUUUUUUUUUCUAUCACAAUAUACCUUAUUUCAUUUUUCUUUUUCUUUAACUUUCUAUUUUUUUAUCUUCUAUUUUAAACAUCAUAUUUACACUAUAUCUCACUUGUCUUAUCACUUUCAUUUCUCUUUUUUUUUUUUUUUUUAUUGUCACUAUAUCCACCCACAUUAUUUUUCUAUCAAAGAACAUAGAGUCAUUUCAUUAUAUCCAUAAAUUAAAUUUUAGUUAAAUUCCAUAUAAAUUUUAGAAUUUUCUAUCUAUUAAAUCUAUUAUUUCUCAAACUUUUAUUAUCCAAAUAUAAUUAAUCUAUUAUUCACUUGGGCUACUUCUACUAGGAUAGUAAAAUUUCAAAUAAAACCUAAUUAACAAAUUCUUGAAUUGAUUCAAAUGGGGUUGAGCACAAACCUUAGAAUUUCCAAAAUAUUCUACAAGCUUUACUUCUCUACUCUUCAUUUUCUUUCCCUUUGGAACUUCCACUUUUCCUUUCCACUUUUUCUCAUGAAAAAAAAAUAAACCAAUAAAUCACAUUAAUACACUAUUUCUCAUAAAUAUUCACAUUUAACAUCCCUGGGUAGCUGGCUCAGGCUCGUAAAGUCGAACCGUCUUUCGAGCAUAUGAUCUGAUGGGCUUCGGACCUGUGACUUUUUUUUGGAUCCAACCUUAUUCCUGAGCUAGGAAAGAUCUGGAGGUUAUCAAUAUUAUUAUAA
rnacentral:lncRNA from 1 species